AUGGCGGAGGAGGACCCCUCCUCGCCGGCGCGCCAGAGCCCGGGACCUCAGCCGCCGGAGGGCGCGGCGGGCGACGCCGACGCCCCGUUACCGGCAGGGUUCAUCUUCAGGUGCGACGGCGCGACCAAGCCCGAGUGCUUCAGGUACAGGGUGCUGGGCCUGCCGCGGGGGAGGCUGGGCGCCGUCUCCCGGAUCAGGCGCGGCGCGGCGCUCUUCCUCUUCGACUACGACGCCAAGUACCUGUACGGGCCCUACCGCGCCGACUCGGACGGCGGGCGCGACCUCGAGCCCGCCGCCUUCCAGGGCCGCCUACCUGCCCAGGUCAAAUUCAUGAUUGAUGGUGAUUUCAUGCCUGUCCGAGGGAAAACCGUAAGAUACACCAUAAAAGAGAAUUAUCCCGGCAAAUUCGUGCCAGAACUUACCUUUACACAAGUUGAGAAAUUGAGAGCAUUGUUCCGUCCAAUUAUUUCACUGCCAGUGCCAGAGGCACCACCCCUGCAUUAUGUUGACAACAGCCAUCCCUCUCCAUCUGCUGCUUUUCUGCCUCCUUCGGCUUCAUCUUCAUACCCAACACAGUCAGCUGCUUAUGUGCAUCACCCAAGCGCCUAUGUUCUCACCCCAGCUGCUCAUCUGGCCCCAAAUGAACCUUAUGCAUGCCCAGAUUCUCAACCUCCUGCUCGGACCGCUCAAUUCGCUGCACCUGCUUACUAUGUGACCACAACUGGGCAUCUGUAUCAGGCAAGUUAUCAAGCAUAUGGCCCAUCGCCUGCCACCUAUCACUACGCCCAAGCGCCUCCUUUGCAACUUGUCUAUUUGCAAGCCCAACACCCUGUGCGAAAACAUGUUACAGACCCUGCAUGUUCCUCUGAUCCCAACUAUGAUGCUAAUGGGAAUGAUCCGUAUCGAUAUGACGCUGUGAAGUCUCAUUACCAGGAAACUACUUCUGGGAGAGCUGCUGCACCACAUGAAGUGGCCGCGACAAACCUCCAACUUGUCAUGCACUAUGGGUACGCCCCAGGCAGUGAGGGUGCAACCAGAGAAACUACACAGUCCAGUGCUGAAGGAGCUGCAUCGGCGAUCUACUCCCAUGCGGGUGCCCCAGCAACCACUCAGGCUGCGCCAUUGGUGUACGCCGUCGCAGCUGCACCACAUGAAGUGGCCGGGACAAACCUGCAACUUGUCAUGCACUAUGGGUACGCCCCAGGCAGCGAGGGUGCAACCGGAGAAACUACGCAGUCCAGUGCUGAAGGCGCUGCAUCGGCAAUCUACUCCCAGGCUGGUGCCCCAGUGACCACUCAGGCUGUGCCAUCGGUAUAUGCCGUCGCAGCUGCACCGGCUAACCUGUGA
rnacentral:rRNA from 1 species